rnacentral:rRNA from 1 species
AGAGUUUGAUCCUGGCUCAGGAUGAACGCUGGCGGCGUGCCUAACACAUGCAAGUCGAGCGAUUCUCUUUGGAGAAGAGCGGCGGACGGGUGAGUAACGCGUGGGUAACUUGCCCUGUACACACGGAUAACAUACCGAAAGGUAUGCUAAUACGAGAUAAUAUGCUUUUAUCGCAUGGUAGAAGUAUCAAAGCUUUUGCGGUACAGGAUGGACCCGCGUCUGAUUAGCUAGUUGGUAAGGUAACGGCUUACCAAGGCGACGAUCAGUAGCCGACCUGAGAGGGUGAUCGGCCACAUUGGAACUGAGACACGGUCCAAACUCCUACGGGAGGCAGCAGUGGGGAAUAUUGCACAAUGGGCGAAAGCCUGAUGCAGCAACGCCGCGUGAGCGAUGAAGGCCUUCGGGUCGUAAAGCCCUGUCCUCAAGGAAGAUAAUGACGGUACUUGAGGAGGAAGCCCCGGCUAACUACGUGCCAGCAGCCGCGGUAAUACGUAGGGGGCUAGCGUUAUCCGGAAUUACUGGGCGUAAAGGGUGCGUAGGUGGUUUCUUAAGUCAGAGGUGAAAGGCUACGGCUCAACCGUAGUAAGCCUUUGAAACUGGGAAACUUGAGUGCAGGAGAGGAGAGUGGAAUUCCUAGUGUAGCGGUGAAAUGCGUAGAUAUUAGGAGGAACACCAGUUGCGAAGGCGGCUCUCUGGACUGUAACUGACACUGAGGCACGAAAGCGUGGGGAGCAAACAGGAUUAGAUACCCUGGUAGUCCACGCCGUAAACGAUGAGUACUAGCUGUCGGAGGUUACCCCCUUCGGUGGCGCAGCUAACGCAUUAAGUACUCCGCCUGGGAAGUACGCUCGCAAGAGUGAAACUCAAAGGAAUUGACGG